GUAGGUGAACCUGCGGAAGGAUCAUUACCGAGCUAGGGUCUCCAAGGCCCGAACCUCCAACCCGAUGCCUACCUAUCCUCUGUUUCUUUGGCGGGCCCGUGGGGUCUCCCUCCGCCGGCCGCUUGGCUGGCGCGCCCGCCAGAGGUCAUCAUAACCCGACCAUCAUUGUCGUCUGAGAAAACAAACAAUAGUUAAAACUUUCAACAACGGAUCUCUUGGUUCUGGCAUCGAUGAAGAACGCAGCAUCUGA
rnacentral:misc_RNA from 1 species